AAUGUAAGGGCCCAAAGUAAAACGCCCCUAGUAUAGGUUGAAUAGUACGUUCCUGCACAACGGAGCCCGCGAGGGCUGGUGAGAAGAAGAGAGAUAUACUAACGAUCAGAAUUGAUAGAAGAGUGACAGAGAUAGCGAGGGCGAGAGAGGAACGCGAGGGCCGAGGCACACCAUCGAGUAUCAACCAGCUGGUUGGCAAGGCAGCCGCGAGCAGUCGCCAGUGAGACGCGGUACCCCGCGAGGGCUUUCGUCGUUUGUUCGUUCGUCUAUACGUGUGUCUAUAUGUCCGUCAUCUCCCUUCCGCUUAAACCUAUCGUGGUCGUGCGUACGUUCAUUCGUUCGUCCGGUCCGUGUGUGGUGCGUCUCCCUUCGCUUGCUUUCAACGACACUUGCCACCGGUCGCGACUAUCGUCUCUGUGUCAAAGUACAUCUCUGUCUUACUCUAUCUCUCUCUCCUCGUUUCUCUUGGCGUGCCCAACUGAAAAGACAAGAUGGCUGCCGACUCAGGAAUGGAGACGUGUCCCUCCCCGGAGAUUGCAGACUCCAGGAAGCGGCCACUGGAUUGUGACGCGGAAAAUGGCGCGACGAAGAGGUCUCAUUACGGAUCAGGGGGAGAUGGAACAUAUCACCUCAAAGUAUUGGUCCCUGGAGUGGCUGCUGGGGCAAUCAUUGGAAAAGGAGGAGAUACAAUUGCCCAAUUACAAAAAGAUACAGGAGCUAGGGUCAAAAUGUCUAAAUCCCAUGAUUUUUAUCCAGGAACAACAGAGAGAGUAUGUUUAAUUACGGGCAGUUUAGAAGCUAUAAUGGCAGUUAUGGAUUUCAUUAUGGAUAAAAUUCGUGAAAAACCAGAUCUUACAUUGAAAACAACAGUAGAUUUUGAAUCAGGAAAAACUACUGCAGAAAGGGAUAAACAGGUAAAAAUUUUAGUGCCUAAUAGCACUGCAGGAAUGAUAAUAGGUAAAGCAGGAAAUUAUAUUAAACAAAUAAAAGAAGAAUGUGGCUCAUAUGUUCAAAUAAGUCAGAAAGCAAAAGAUGUAUCUUUACAAGAAAGGUGUAUAACAGUAAUUGGAGAAAAAGAAAAUAAUCGUAAUGCAUUAAUGAUGAUAUUAGCAAAAGUGGCAGAUGAUCCACAUAGUGGUACAUGUCCAAAUGUUAGUUAUGCAGAUGUUAGUGGUCCUGUAGCUAAUUAUAAUCCUACAGGUAGCCCUUAUGCUCAAGCACCUACAAGUACUCCUACAUACACCUCUACAGCUGGCAUUAAUACAGUGAGUCUCUUGAAUGGUGCUGGGUUAAGUUUGAACUUAAAUUUAGGAGCUGCUAUUACAGCGGGUACAGCACCAGUGACAACGCAAUUAUUGGAACAUAUAAAAUUAAAUUUACGAACGGCAGGUUUUUCCGAACCUGCUGCUAGUGAAAUUUUAUCUGCUAUUGCUACACUUGCUAAAUAUAAUCUUCUUGGAAUGGGAAUUGGAAUGCCUUCUAGUAUGAGUUAUCUUGGAAAUCCUAUGGACAGCACUACAACUGCAAAUGGUUCGAAUAAUAAUGGUGGUGUAUUUGGGCCAAUUGGAACAGUUCCUACUCUUGGAUCUACGUCUCCUACACCACGUAAUACACUUGACAGAUACGAGCCCUUUGAUCCAUUCAGACAAAACAACACAGCUGCCAGUGCUAUUCAUCUAAACAACAAUUCAUUUGGCCUUGGCACUAACCAGUUAUCACUUGGAAAAUAACUCGGUGAUGUAAAGAUUCAUCAAGGCAAGGAAGAUGGAUGCGUUUUAUUCGCAAUGAUAAAUGACGAUGUCGAUGUUGAAAUGUGCAUUUCUAUCAGAAUCAAAUGUCAUAAUAUCAAUUUUCCAAUGUUAUCACUUGGAACAUUUGAAAAAAAAAGAAAAAAAACAACUCUCCUUGCAUCAGCGGCAAAAUUUAAAUAACGAAUCAACAACAAUCGGAAAAUCAAAGUGAAUCCGAGAUGUGCGGAUCGAUAAACGCAACGACAAGCGAAUAUGCAUCACGGCUUGUAAGUCUAAACGUGAGAAAAAAACAGUCUUAGUUUUUUUGAUCGAUCAACGUAAAAUAAUUACAUUUUUUAUUUAAUAAUUUUUUCUUGUUAUUUAAAGUUUACUUAGAGUAUACCCGAAACCGUGACCUCUUGGGCAUCACUAUGAUUGUUACUGAUGAAGUAUAUAUUAUACUAUAUAUAUAUAUACAUAUAUAAUAUAUAUGUAUAUAUAUAUACAUAUAAUUAGUUCACAGCAUUUGAAUUUACUCUAAAAUAAUUACUUUACACUCUAACCACAUUUAUUUGCAUCCAUAAAUUGUUAUUCUUUCAUCAUCAGAGUUAUUCCAUUCAAUGUUAAAUAAUUAUAAAUAUUAAAAACAUAAUAUAUUAACUAUUUUCACUCAUGAAAAAGCAUCGUUACCUGUAUGACAAGUGACCAUAAGAGCAUAAUAAACAAUCGCUCAUUAAAUGCA
rnacentral:misc_RNA from 1 species